CACGGGAAGAUGAUGAAGCAACCACUGUCUGAGUGGUGGGUGAGCCAGGAGAGAUGGUGGAUCUGUCAUCACUCACUAACAAGGCACUAUCAUCAGUAUGCUGAGACCUUCUGGAUGGAAAGGGACACUCACUAUCCAGAGGACUUUUCUGAGGACUUAAGGAUGCUUUUUGCUUAACAAAGUCGAGAACAGCUUCUCUCUGGAUCUGCUUGGUUCUCAUCCUUUCCUCCUCGUACUGCAGCGCUGCUAGCUGUGCCUCCCGGCGGGUACGCUCUAUGUGCCUGCGGUGCAGGUCGGGGUCUGUAUUGGGCACCUGACUCUGGUGACUUGAUAGAGAGAGAAAGUAAGGUGAAUCAGCUGGGGGUCUGUUCUGUUGUAAAUACCGUCUCGUGUCCUCAGCCUUCUGAAAUUCUCUAGUAGAUGCAGGCUUUGCUGGUGAGCUCUCAUUAGAGAUUCUCCGCUGGUCAAUAUAUGCCAUGAAUUGUGAGCUGAGGCUGUCUGAGUCCACGCACUUGGGUUGCCUCACCUCUUCCUCCUCCUCUUCCGUGGCACAGCUAUCAAUAUAGUCGAUCUGAUCGAGAUCAUGUUCCACUCCACCAUUGGUUACGACUGAGCUCC
rnacentral:lncRNA from 1 species